rnacentral:lncRNA from 1 species
GGGUGGCCACCCUGGGCAUGUGGGUAGCCAGGGCACCACCCAGCUUUGACCUGCUGGCCCUCUCCCAGAGGGGAAGGCCCACCGCGAGAAGCUGGAGCUGGUGGCCUCCUUCUCCUUCUUUGGCAACGUCAUGUCCAUGGCCAGCGUGCAGCUGGCAGGAGCCAAGCGUGACGCCCUACUGCUCAGCUUCAAGGAUGCUAAGGUGAGGGGUAGAGGGUGGUAGAGGGUGGUAGGCCCGGGGUGGGGGAUGGAGGGGGCAGGGCUACACAGGGGCCUGCUGGUACCCCCCAGGGUGCAUGGGGGCAGGCCAUAGUUCUGACCUUCUGCCCCCAGCUGUCGGUGGUGGAGUAUGACCCCGGCACCCACGAUCUGAAGACCCUGUCCUUGCACUACUUUGAGGAGCCUGAGCUGCGGGUAGGCCACAUCGAGGCACCCCGGCCAGCCCAGCUACUCCCUCCCUCCUUCUACCCCCAGUGCUGCCCGUGAGGGCUCCUGGCUAAUGUCCCUCUGCCCCCAGGACGGCUUUGUGCAGAACGUGCACACACCUCGAGUGCGGGUGGACCCCGAUGGGCGCUGUGCAGCCAUGCUCAUCUACGGCACCCGGCUGGUGGUGCUGCCCUUCCGCAGGGAGAGCCUGGCCGAGGAGCAUGAGGGGCUCGUGGGUGAGGGGUGAGCACUGGGGUCACGGCUGGGUCUGAGAGGCGUGGAGCUUGGUUCCCCUCUGUGUGGCCCACCCUGACGUCCCUGUGCCCCCAGGCAGAGGUCCAGCUUCCUGCCUAGCUAUAUCAUCGAUGUGCGGGCCCUGGACGAGAAGCUGCUCAACAUCAUUGACCUGCAGUUCCUGCAUGGCUAUUACGAGCCCACCCUGCUCAUCCUGUUCGAGCCCAACCAGACUUGGCCCGGGUGAGGCCCAGGGAUGCCCUCUUUGCUGUGGUCCCAGCUGCCUGGGCAGAGGGGACAGGGACGUGUAGCUCCCGCAGAGGGUGGAAGUGGGACCCCAGCCUUGGGGGGUGCUGCGAGUCCAGCUGACCCACCUACUACUCCAGGCGGGUGGCAGUGCGACAGGACACCUGUUCCAUUGUGGCCAUCUCACUGAACAUCACGCAGAAGGUCCACCCUGUCAUCUGGUCCCUCACCAGCCUGCCUUUUGACUGCACCCAGGCCCUGGCUGUGCCCAAGCCCAUAGGUGAGGAGGGCCCAGCAGUGCCCAGUGGUCCUGGGGGGGAGCAGUGAGCCUGCCUACCAGCCCGUGUCUGUCCCCAGGUGGGGUCGUGGUCUUCGCUGUCAACUCGCUGCUGUACCUGAACCAAAGUGUCCCCCCAUAUGGCGUGGCUCUCAACAGCCUCACUAUGGGCACCACUGCCUUCCCACUGCGUAAGUGUAGCUGACUAUUAGUGGGUGGGGCUGUGGGUGGGGCAGGGCCUCCAGCCAGCUUGACACCUUCCUCACAGGCACUCAGGAGGGCGUACGGAUCACCCUGGACUGCGCCCAGGCCGCCUUCAUUUCCUAUGACAAGAUGGUCAUUUCCCUCAAGGGUGGCGAGAUGUGAGCCCCUGGCCCUGUCUGCCCUGAGACCCCCACAUCCCCUCCCCUGCUCAUUCAGCACCCCCCACCCCUGCCCUCCAACAUCCUUCAUCCCCAGCCCUACUCAGCAGCCCGCCCCGCCCACAGCUAUGUGCUGACACUCGUCACAGACGGCAUGCGCAGCGUCCGUGCCUUCCACUUUGACAAGGCAGCCGCCAGUGUCCUCACCACCAGUGUGAGUAGGGGCAGGGGUGGAGGUCUUGCACUGGGUCCAGGUCUGGCCUCCUCUCAUCCACACGCCCGCCCUCAGAUGGUCACCAUGGAGCCUGGGUACCUGUUCCUGGGCUCGCGCCUGGGCAAUUCCCUCCUCCUCAAGUACACAGAGAAGCUGCAGGAGCCCCCAGCCAGUGCUGUCCGCGAGGCUGCUGACAAGGUGGGUGCUCAUGGUGGUGCCCAGGUGCUUGGCCACCUCCCCUUGGUGUAAAGCAGCCUGGAAAUGCUGUUCACCUCUGUCUCCCGCCUCACAGGAAGAGCCUCCCUCCAAGAAGAAGCGGGUGGACCCCACAGUGGGCUGGUCAGGUGAGAGCUGGACCGGUUGGGUGGGGUGGGUCUGGGAGCCAGGGCAAGGCUCAAGUGGGCUGUGUGCGCUACAGGGGGCAAGUCCGUGCCACAGGACGAGGUGGACGAGAUUGAAGUGUACGGCAGUGAGGCCCAGUCAGGCACACAGCUGGCCACCUACUCCUUUGAGGUGAGACUGGGGACAGCCGUGGAUGCCCGCCCCCUCCCACCACCUGACUGCCACUGUGUCUUCAGGUGUGUGACAGCAUGCUCAACAUCGGACCCUGCGCCAAUGCUGCUGUGGGCGAGCCCGCCUUCCUCUCCGAAGAGGUGCCUGGGGCCUGGGCUUGGGUUGGGGGCAGGAGCGGGGUUGGGGCAGCAUCUUUACCCCGACCUGUGCAGUUUCAGAACAGCCCUGAGCCAGACCUGGAGAUUGUGGUUUGCUCCGGCUAUGGGAAGAACGGGGCCCUAUCAGUGCUGCAGGUGUGUAGGGCAGGGGGGGUGGGCACCUGCGGGCAGCACCUGAGUAGGCUGACCCCAUCCCACCCUAUCUUCAUUCCAGAAGAGUAUCCGGCCCCAGGUAGUGACAACCUUUGAACUUCCUGGCUGCUAUGACAUGUGGACAGUCAUUGCCCCUGUGCGCAAGGAGGAGGUAGGUGGGACCCUAGGUGAUAGUGACUGUGGUGGCCUGAGGGCACCUGGAUCCAGUGGUCAUAGCCAUCACAGCUCUCUGUCCUCCCUGUCCUUGGCCCGUGCAGGAGGAGGCACCUAAGGCAGAGGGCCCAGAGCAGGAGCCGAGCACCCCUGAAGCAGAAGAUGAUGGCCGGAGACAUGGCUUCCUCAUUCUGAGCCGGGAAGACUCAACAAUGGUGAAGGGCGGGGUCUGGAUGUGGGCGUCUGGGGUUCCCCGGGGAAGGGCACAACUCACUACGUUACCUACAGAUCCUUCAGACUGGCCAGGAGAUCAUGGAACUGGACACCAGUGGCUUUGCCACACAGGGCCCCACGGUUUUUGCUGGAAACAUUGGGGACAAUCGCUACAUUGUCCAAGUGUCACCACUGGGCAUCCGCUUGCUAGAAGGAGGUAGGUGGGCAAGUGUAGGGAAGCGCGUCCUGGGGAGUAUGCUGCAUUGGCCACCCUGUGCUGACCACCCUGUGCCCACAGUGAAUCAGCUGCACUUCAUCCCUGUGGACCUGGGUGCCCCCAUCGUGCAGUGCGCUGUGGCCGACCCCUAUGUGGUCAUCAUGAGCGCCGAGGGCCGUGUUACCAUGUUCCUGCUCAAGAGUGAUUCGUAUGGUGGCCGCCACCACCGCCUUGCACUGCACAAGCCUCCACUGCACCAUGUAGGCCUCACCCUCUGUGUCUGCCAUCCCUGCCUAUGAUCCCCUAUCCCCACUGUCCCCGACCUACACUGGGCUUUGUCUCUCCCUGCAGCAGUCCAAGGUGAUCACACUCUGCCUGUAUCGUGAUGUCAGCGGCAUGUUCACCACCGAGAGCCGCCUGAGUGGGGCCCGUGAUGAGAUGGGGGGCCGCAGUGGUUCAGAGGCCGAAGGACUGGGCUCAGAGACCAGGUGUGCAGGGGGCCAGGGUGCAGGAGACCUGGGUCUCUGUGGCAGAUUGAGACAUGUCUGUGUCUUCAGCCCUACAGUGGAUGACGAGGAGGAGAUGCUCUAUGGGGACUCAGGCUCCCUCUUCAGCCCCAGCAAAGAGGAGGCCCGGAGGAGCAGCCAGCCCCCUGCUGACCGAGACCCUGCACCCUUUCGGGCAGAGCCCACCCACUGGUGCCUGCUGGUGCGAGAGAACGGCACCAUGGAGGUAGGUGCACACAUGUGGCUCAGCAGCCCUGGCAGCAUGGCAGGCCCUAUCGUCACUGACUGCUGUCCCCCACCAGAUCUACCAGCUUCCAGACUGGCGGCUGGUGUUCCUGGUGAAGAACUUCCCUGUGGGGCAGCGGGUCCUGGUGGACAGUUCCUUUGGACAGCCUACCACGCAGGGUGAGGCCCGCAAGGAAGAGGCCACGCGCCAGGGGGAGCUGCCCCUGGUCAAGGAGGUGCUGCUGGUUGCUCUGGGGAGUCGCCAGAGCAGGCCCUACCUGCUGGUGAGCCCUUUGGUGCCUGCCCAGAGGCUGGGACCUGCCCUCACAGCCCAGCCCAUUCCUCCACUCUGUCCUCGGGGCCCAGCCCCACCUCGUGGCCCACCCUGUCUCACUUCCAGGUGCAUGUGGACCAGGAGCUGCUUAUCUAUGAGGCUUUUCCCCAUGACUCUCAGCUUGGCCAGGGCAAUCUCAAAGUUCGCUUCAAGAAGGUGCAGCUGCUAGACCCUUUUGGGGUGGGUUGGGAGGGGUCCAGGCUACAGGGUCUGAAGGGCCUGGCGUUCAUCAACACCUUCACCAGGUCCCCCACAACAUCAAUUUCCGUGAAAAGAAGGCAAAACCCUCCAAGAAGAAGGCAGAAGGUGGCAGUGUGGAGGAGGGUUCUGGGGCCCGGGGACGUGUGGCACGUUUCCGCUACUUCGAGGACAUUUAUGGCUAUUCUGGGGUAGGCAGGCAGCUUUGUUUGGGCUUGGGGGUAGGGGAACAGGACCUUGCCCACAUGUUCUCACAGUGUCUGUCUCCAGGUGUUCAUCUGUGGCCCCUCACCCCACUGGCUCCUAGUGACUGGCCGGGGGGCUCUGCGGCUGCACCCCAUGGGCAUCGAUGGCCCCAUCGACUCCUUCGCCCCAUUCCACAAUGUCAAUUGUCCCCGAGGCUUUCUGUAUUUCAACAGACAGGUAGGAAGGUUAACUCUGGCCGCACCACAAGCACUGGUACUGCCCUGGCAAAGCUAGGCGCUAGGGACAGGAGGGCUCCUCAGCUGCAGCACAUCCCAGAGGACCAGGGAUGACUAUCUAGAGGAGGGUAGGGCCCAGGAGGUGGGAUCUGGGGCUUGAGGCUGGAGCAGUUGGCAGUGGAGGCCUGGCUGAUGGGGCAUACCCUGAAAGCCCUUGCCUCAUCUGUGACACCCACAUGGCAGCAAUGACCACCUGAGUCACUGACAGACUCUGGUGUUGAGUGCUUCCAAGGGGCUAAUGCACUCAGGACUGGACAGAAGCUGAGGCUGGGGCUGGCAGGGUCUCCCUCUGCCUGUGUUCUUCAGUCCCUGGCAUGGCCAGUCUCAGUCAUGUGGCUUUUAGUCUCUAGUGUCCUCUGGGCUUGGACUCCCAUGCCCUGUGCUGUAUUCCCCAGCCAGAAGGAUGGACAGGAGCCUACUGAUAGAAGGCAUGGGGACUGACGACCAAGGCUACAGCUCUUCCAGACCUUCCCCAGACUCGGUGACCCUAGCCAGGCAGUAGCGAGGCCUGCAGCCCUAGGCCUUGCUGACUAUUUCCACCCACCCCAGGGUGAGCUGCGGAUCAGUGUCCUGCCUGCCUACUUGUCCUACGAUGCCCCAUGGCCCGUCAGGAAGAUCCCACUGCGCUGCACGGCUCACUAUGUGGCUUACCAUGUGGAGUCCAAGGUCUGUCCCCUCCCCCAGCACUCCCUCCCCCAGGCACCCCAGGCGUGUGACACCAUUCAACUCCUAGGUGUACGCCGUGGCCACCAGCACCAAUACACCCUGCACCCGCAUCCCGCGCAUGACUGGUGAGGAAAAGGAGUUUGAGGCCAUUGAGAGAGGUAUGUGCCACCAGGGGUGGGGUGGACCAUGCCCAGGGCUGGCUACGACCACUGCCUCCUUGUCCCUGCAGAUGACAGGUACAUCCACCCCCAACAGGAGGCCUUCUCCAUCCAGCUCAUCUCCCCAGUCAGCUGGGAGGCCAUUCCCAAUGCCAGGUGAUGUUGGGCCCAGUGGGGGCUUCCGGGUGCCAGCAGGGCAGGACUAGGGUGUCCUGAUACAGCCUGUCCUUGUGCAGAAUUGAGCUGGAGGAAUGGGAACACGUCACAUGCAUGAAGACAGUGUCGCUGCGCAGUGAGGAGACUGUGUCGGGCCUCAAGGGCUAUGUGGCUGCUGGGACCUGCCUCAUGCAGGGAGAGGAGGUCACGUGCCGCGGGCGGGUAAGCAGCUGCCAGGUGGGGACAGGCGGCCCUUGGCAGCCUGUCUGCCAUCCCCACAUGUUCCCUUGCCCUGCCAGAUCCUCAUCAUGGACGUGAUUGAGGUGGUGCCCGAACCUGGCCAGCCCCUAACCAAGAACAAGUUCAAGGUCCUAUACGAAAAGGAACAGAAGGGGCCUGUGACCGCCCUGUGCCACUGCAAUGGUCACCUGGUGUCAGCCAUUGGCCAGAAGGUACACAGCUACUCCUCCCUGCUGUGUUUCUGCCUGCUCACCCUGCCCACUCCACUGACCCUUCUGCCCCCUAGAUCUUCCUGUGGAGCCUGCGGGCCAGUGAGCUGACGGGCAUGGCCUUCAUCGACACCCAGCUGUACAUCCACCAGAUGAUCAGCGUCAAGAACUUCAUCUUAGCUGCAGAUGUCAUGAAGAGCAUCUCACUGCUGCGCUACCAAGAAGAGAGCAAGACGCUGAGCCUGGUGUCCCGGGUACUUCAUGUGGUCUUGGGGUACAGGUGAGAGUCAUACUCGGGCUCCUCCUGACACCUUCUGCUCCCUGACAACAGGAUGCCAAGCCUCUGGAGGUGUACAGUGUGGACUUCAUGGUGGACAAUGCCCAGCUGGGCUUUUUGGGUGAGUAGGGUCUUGGGGGAGUGUCACCCUGGGGGUGGCUGGAGCUGACUCUGGGUCUUUGCUCCCUAGUGUCUGACCGAGACCGCAACCUCAUGGUGUACAUGUACCUGCCAGAAGGUCAGUGGCUCCCUCCCUCACUUGUUUUUUUCAAUGUUUUUUAGUAGUUGAUGGACCUCUAUUUAUUUGUAUGUGGUGCUGAGAGUCGAACCCAGUGCAUCACACAUGCUAGACAAGCUAUCACUGAGCCACAACCCCAGCCCUCCCUCCCUCACUUCUACUCCGGCUGGGUAUUGGGCACUGGGUGGGCAGUGAUCUGAGUUCUUCUGUCCUAGCCAAGGAGAGCUUUGGGGGCAUGCGCCUGCUGCGCAGGGCAGACUUCCACGUGGGUGCCCACGUGAACACGUUCUGGAGAACGCCAUGCAGGGGGGCCACUGAGGGGCCCAGCAAGAAGUCGGUGGUGUGGGAGAACAAGCACAUCACGUGGUUUGGUGAGUGGGGUGGGGUAACUGAGCUCACUGCCCCCUCGAGCCACACUGGAUGACUAGGGGGUUGACCUGGCUCACGCUUCCCCCCAUCCCCAGCCACACUGGAUGGCGGCAUCGGGCUCCUGCUGCCCAUGCAGGAGAAGACCUACCGGAGGCUGCUGAUGCUGCAGAACGCACUGACCACCAUGUUGCCCCACCAUGCUGGUCUCAACCCCCGUGCCUUCCGGUGAGCACCCACCAUCCUCAGGGCUCUGCCUACCCUCCCAGGUUGCCCUGACCCCCCACACCCCCUCCCCAGGAUGUUGCAUGUGGACCGGCGCAUCCUACAGAACGCAGUGCGCAACGUGCUUGACGGAGAGCUGCUCAACCGCUACCUGUACCUCAGCACUAUGGAGCGUGGGGAGCUGGCCAAGAAGAUUGGCACGACCCCAGACAUUGUGAGUUGGCCUGCUUUCCCCCGCCCAUCCUGUCCCUGCCCUGCUGAGCCCUGCCCUGACGGCUUUCACCCUACAGAUCCUUGAUGACCUGCUGGAGACUGACCGUGUCACCGCCCACUUCUAAGCAUGUGGAUGCCACCCUGCCCCCGCACACUGCCUCCCCCCACCUUUUGUACAAAACAAGGAAAACAAAUUGUUUGAGACGA